AGUCACUGACAUUAGAUACCCCCGUAGUCCUAGCCGUAAACGAUACUCGCUAGGUGUCGGCCACGGUGCGACCGUUGUCGGUGCCGUAGGGAAGCCGUGAAGCGAGCCACCUGGGAAGUACGGCCGCAAGGCUGAAACUUAAAGGAAUUGGCGGGGGAGCACAACAACGGGUGGAGCUUGCGGUUUAAUUGGAUUCAACGCCGGAAAUCUUACCGGGACCGACAGCAACAUGAAGGCCAAGCUGAAGACUUUGCCGGAUUAGCUG
rnacentral:rRNA from 1 species